CCUACGGGAGGCAGCAGUGGGGAAUCUUGCGCAAUGGGCGAAAGCCUGACGCAGCAACGCCGCGUGCGGGAAGAAGGCUUUCGGGCUGUAAACCGCUUUCAGCAGGAACGAAAAUGACGGUACCUGCAGAAGAAGGAGCGGCCAACUAUGUGCCAGCAGCCGCGGUGAUACAUAGGCUUCAAGCGUUGUCCGGAUUUAUUGGGCGUAAAGAGUUCGUAGGCGGUCGAGUAAGUCGGGUGUGAAAAUUCUGGGCUCAACCCAGAGACGCCACCCGAUACUGCUUGACUUGAGUUCGAUAGGGGAGUGGGGAAUUCCUAGUGUAGCGGUGAAAUGCGCAGAUAUUAGGAGGAGCACCGGUGGCGAAGGCGCCACUCUGGAUCGAUACUGACGCUGAGGAACGAAAGCAUGGGUAGCAAACAGGAUUAGAUACCCUGGUAGUCCAUGCCGUAAACGGUGGGCACUAGGUGUGGGUUUCUAUUAACGAAUCCGNGCCGUCGCUAACGCAUUAAGUGCCCCGCCUGGGGAGUACGGUCGCGAGACGAAACGUACGAAGUAAGUAGUACGGCGUUGUAGACGUUGCCGACGGCGACGACGAGGGAGGAGG
rnacentral:rRNA from 1 species